UCAACACAGACUGGUAUUUUCAGACCAAAGUACUGCAAGAUAGUUGUCCUAAGACACUGCUCUUCAUUAAAAAGGGCAUUUUCUUGCCUAUUAGGUAGUGAAACAAAUAGACAGAUUUUCAGAUAUGGCAGCAGUCAGCUCCCAUUGAGAACAGGAGAUGUGUCCCCUCUCCCAGUGAGAAACAAGAAGAUUUCUGCCCAUUUUUCUCACCCCUUUCUCUUUUCUCUCCCCAGUACAUUAUAUGUUCACCAAGAACAGCAGCAAAUGUCUUCAGCUGUUCUACAGCCAAUGGAGAUUUCCCUGUGCACUUGAAUGGAAAUGAAGCUUCUGCUAGCAAGUGUUCCUUUCCAGAUUCAGUCAUUGUAAAGGAAUCCAAAGAUCCUUUUUACAAAGAUCCUCCUCGCUGUUGUGCCUGGAGGAGCCAGGCCGUGCCCCACAUCCAUGGGGCUGCUCCAUUGCUCUGCAAAUGCUGGGCAGUGCUAACAAGCUUUCCUUCAAGCAUAUGCUCAGAUGUCAACACUUCUGCUUUGUCAGAAGCUUAAAAAUGGAAACAGUGUUCUCUUUAAGAAAACAGGACCCAAAUAAGGAGAUGAUGGAGUGGCGAGGAUUCCUCUAGUGAGUCUGUUCCAGCUCAUUCCUUACAAAGGCUGCGUGUGAAAGAUAGAGGCCCACAGAUCUGGGUUUUGUCCAGGGGUCUCCAGGUUUAAAGCUCCCCACAGCCGCUUCAGCUCAGUUUCCCUGUGACUCGGCUGGGCACGACUUCUUUCUCUGCCCCAAAAACAUAAAGCUUUUCUCUUCAGAACUUUUUUGGUUGCGUGACAAACUCAGCCUAUCCUUUAGCAAAAAUGGAAGCUAUCAAGAAAAAGAUGCAGAUGUUGAAGCUGGACAAGGAGAAUGCAAUUGAUAGAGCAGAGCAGGCUGAAACGGAUAAGAAGGCAGCUGAGGACAAAUGCAAACAGGCAAGUAGAAAUCAAAUCACUGAUUGUGCACGUGUUGUGGAAAUCGGUGUAAUGAAGUACUAUGCUGCACUCUGAUUCAGAAAACAUCAUUUGAAUUGGAGUUUCCCAUUAAUCUGUUUUGAAUCUUUUGCCUAUUUAUGAUGUUAAACUCGUACAGCCACUGCUAGGUAUUAAUAAUCUU
rnacentral:lncRNA from 1 species